GGCUCAAUGGUCUAGAAGCAUGAUACCUGCUUUGGGAAUUCCUGAGCUUGCAGGUGGUCCCGGGUUCAAUUCCCGGUUGGGCCC
rfam:Fistulina hepatica ATCC 64428 unplaced genomic scaffold FISHEscaffold_39, whole genome shotgun sequence.